rnacentral:rRNA from 1 species
CAGCACCUCAAGUGGUCAGGAUGAUUAUUGGGCCUAAAGCAUCCGUAGCCGGCUCUGUAAGUUUUCGGUUAAAUCUGUACGCUCAACGUACAGGCUGCCGGGAAUACUGCAGCGCUAGGGAGUGGGAGAGGUAGACGGUACUCGGUAGGAAGGGGUAAAAUCCUUUGAUCUAUUGAUGACCACCUGUGGCGAAGGCGGUCUACCAGAACACGUCCGACGGUGAGGGACGAAGGCUAGGGGAGCGAUCCGGAUUAGAUACCCGAGUAGUCC